rnacentral:rRNA from 1 species
GAGACAGCAGCAGCCGCGGUAAUACGUAGGUGGCAAGCGUUGUCCGGAAUUAUUGGGCGUAAAGGGCUCGCAGGCGGUUUCUUAAGUCUGAUGUGAAAGCCCCCGGCUCAACCGGGGAGGGUCAUUGGAAACUGGGAAACUUGAGUGCAGAAGAGGAGAGUGGAAUUCCACGUGUAGCGGUGAAAUGCGUAGAGAUGUGGAGGAACACCAGUGGCGAAGGCGACUCUCUGGUCUGUAACUGACGCUGAGGAGCGAAAGCGUGGGGAGCGAACAGGAUUAGAUACCCCUGUAGUCCCUGUCUCUUAUAC